rnacentral:tRNA from 1 species
GUGAUUAGCUCAGUUGGUAGAGCAGCUGACUCUUAAUCAGCGGGUCGUAGGUUCGAACCCUACAUCAC